AGGGCUAUAGCUCAGUUAGGUAGAGCAACUCGUUUACAC
rnacentral:tRNA from 6 species